CCUACGGGCGGCAGCAGUGAGGAAUAUUGGUCAAUGGACGAGAGUCUGAACCAGCCAAGUAGCGUGAAGGAUGACUGCCCUAUGGGUUGUAAACUUCUUUUAUAUGGGAAUAAAAUGUUCCACGUGUGGGAUUUUGUAUGUACCAUAUGAAUAAGGAUCGGCUAACUCCGUGCCAGCAGCCGCGGUAAUACGGAGGAUCCGAGCGUUGUCCGGAUUUAUUGGGUUUAAAGGGAGCGUAGGUGGAUUGUUAAGUCAGUUGUGAAAGUUUGCGGCUCAACCGUAAAAUUGCAGUUGAAACUGGCAGUCUUGAGUACAGUAGAGGUGGGCGGAAUUCGUGGUGUAGCGGUGAAAUGCUUAGAUAUCACGAAGAACUCCGAUUGCGAAGGCAGUUCACUGGACUGCAACUGACACUGAGGCUCGAAAGUGUGGGUAUCAAACAGGAUUAGAUACCCGAGUAGUC
rnacentral:rRNA from 1 species